rnacentral:rRNA from 1 species
UACGUAGGGGCAAGCGUUGUCCGGAAUUAUUGGGCGUAAAGAGCUCGUAGGCGGUCUGUCGCGUCUGCUGUGAAAUCUCAGGGCUUAACCCUGAGCUUGCAGUGGGUACGGGCAGACUAGAGUGGCGGGUAGGGGAGACUGGAAUUCCUGGGUGAUAGCGGUGAAAUGCGCAGAUAUCGGGAGGAACACCGGUGGCGAAG